UGACAGUUAUUAUGGAAAUGCAUUUAUUAUUACGAAUAACAAUAACGAAGUGUACGCAGUUGGAAGUAUUAUUGAGAAAUGCGUGAAAAAUCGUUCAUCAUCUCCAGAAUCCAACGCGGAAACAGACUUUUAUGAACCGGUGAAACUUGCCCUGCUAUGUGGGAAAAAAAUUAAAAAAUUUGUAUACGGGAGCAAACACGUUUUCAUUUGCACUGAGGAAAGCGAAGUUUUUGGUUUUGGAAAUUCCUUUAUUGAUAAAGGAAACUAUAGAUUUGUUCUUCCGCAGAAAGUGUCUGCACUUGUGGGACUGUGUGUAGUGGAUAUAGCCAUUGGACCAAAGGAGCAACAUUUGGUUUUAUGUGAUGAUGGAAAGCUUUAUAAAUUUGAAUUUGGCAAACCCUCCAAAUAUCUGAUCGACACCAGUGCAGUGGAAGCAAAACCCGUGAAUGUACUUCAUGUGGAGAAUAGGUUGU